UACUUGAACUGUGGUAGUGUUCUGUGGUCUUCUCCUUGUUUCUGUGGGAUGGACAGGUCUGCAGACAACUGUGGAAGGCUUUUCUCAGCCGGUUUUCCUGGCUCUGCUUUCACCUCUCUCUUGAUGAGGCUACAGUUGGGAUGUGAUAACGUGAAUUAAUUCUCCCUGACCUGUUCAGUAUGUGGCGUCUCCCACAAGACAACAUAAAGGUGGUACAGCAUUUGCUUCCUGAUACUGCUGGCAGCUGCUUUGUGACUAGUUAACAAGUGAGCCCGAGACGUCUUGUUAGAACUGAUCAAGUAUAUUAACAUGUACGGUAUUUCAAAAGAGAAAAAUCAUACAUUUAUUUCAGCUAAUCUUAUACAUGAAAUGAAUGUGCUUUCAUAAUGUUACACAAUGUAACCAUAAUAACACAGCCAAGAUGGUAAAUUCAUUUUAAUUCCACAAAAUUCAUAAUUGGUGACAUCGCCAGUGGGAGCAAUUGAUCUCUGCUUUCCAUUUGUUCUUGACUGUUUCCACUUCAGUGAAUUAAAAGAAUUGGGCUGUUGGGACCCCACCCUCUUCAUACAGCAUAUUAUGCAAGAGCAUUGCCUUCAGAAAAUUGCUUGUAAUAGACAAUGCCUGCGUUAAAUAAAAAAGGCAAUAGUCCCUGGCCUGACUCAGUAUUUUAAUCCUUUUCAUGUUUUUAUUAUACCUUAUGCCAUUCUGUUCUGUGUUGGAGCUAAGGAACAGGUGUA